GCAGCCGCCGCGGGAAUACGGAGGGUGCAAGCGUUAAUCGGAAUUACUGGGCGUAAAGCGCACGCAGGCGGUCUGACAAGUCAGAUGUGAAAUCCCCGGGCUUAACCUGGGAACUGCAUUUGAAACUGUCAGGCUGGAGUCUUGUAGAGGGGGGUGGAAUUCCAGGUGUAGCGGUGAAAUGCGUAGAGAUCUGGAGGAAUACCGGUGGCGAAGGCGGCCCCCUGGACAAAGACUGACGCUCAGGUGCGAAAGCGUGGGGAGCAAACAGGAUUAGAUACCCGUGUAGUCCCUGUCUCUUAUAC
rnacentral:rRNA from 1 species